GUCUUGAUGGUGUCAUGAAGAAGAAAAGAAAUGGCAACAGCUCACAAUUCAGUUCCCACAUAUGCAAAGUGAGUAGGAUGGACCAGCCUGGUGUCAUAAGAGUCAUUAGCAUCUUCCAAGUGGCUUUCAGGAUAUCUAUUCUUGACCCUUCUACUUCCCUUGUCCCCUGCUGAGAUUAAUCUGGAGUGGGAGCCCAGGAAUCUGCAUUUUAUAAAGGCAACCCCUCUACCAGCAGUUAGUUUAAGGUACACGGAGGUGAAUCUUUGAGGACUGCUAUCAACAAUAAAAUUCCAUGAACAGGAUUUUGGGAGAAGAAACAACUUCUUACUUUUUAACCAGAUCGUUAAGUGGUUGCAAUAAUUAGCUGGUUUAUCUUAAUUUGAUGAUCUGAUUGGAACAAACUCCAGAGGUAGGAGAGUCCUUUGGGGAUGUUAGUUAAAACAACAUAUUUUCAAUUUCAGUGGUAUUAAAUUAGACAGUGAAGCAGAACAAAUUCUACUCUCCUAAGAAAGCAAGACUUUCUCUAGCAAAAAAUAAAGAAAUAAAUAAAAAGUCCUUGAAAUAGUUAUUUGUUCUCGUGUCUUUGGAAAAUCAUGGCUCAUUUCCAGGUAGGCAUAGAAAAACGAUAAUUAUAUUCAUGUAAAUGUCAAUAUUGCCUUCAGGAGGUAGGGAUGUUAAAAACAGUGUUUGAAAAUUUUGGAACCUAGUUACCAUAUAAUUAAAUUAAAUCUCAGCUAUAAUCUUGCUUUCUCUGAGAAGGGUAUUAUUCUAUUUUCGUUAAAUAUUUAAAAAUUAACUUAUAAGGAAAUGAAAAUCAUCACUUUAAUCUUGCCUCAUAUUUGUUUAAUAAUCUCAAAUGAUUAAUUUUGUAAUUAAGGAAAUGGAAUUGAUUUUUUGAAAGUUAUCAUGUAGUAUUCAUGGUUGAAGUGUUCAAUAUUUCAUUAUGACAUUUAUCCCUAUUUAAUAAAAAUUCUUCUGCAAUUUUCUAAAACAGCAUUCUCAAAAUGUGUCCUGUUGCUGCUGCAAGAGGUUAAUAGAGGUCACAUAGAGAAACUAUUUUUAUAUUGAAAGAAGUUUGGGGAACAAGCAUACAUAUAUAAAAAUUUGGGAUUGAAUUUCAAAUACUACCCUAAUUAAAGUCAUCAGAAAUUCCUUUUAUAAUAGAUGCUUUUACCUCAAGAUGUUAUAGCCUUAGAAUAAAAGAACCAUAUAUAUAUAUUUUAAAGUUUUAAUGUUCUGCCCUCAUCUCUUAUCAGAAAACACAAAAGGGGGAAAUAUUGCUUCUGACUCUUGGUUCUGCAGUAGAGAUGUCAAGAAAUUACAUGACAAUUCUGAACAGCUCUCUGACUCAGGUAGGUCUAAGUGGUAAGAUUCUUUUCAGGAUUCCAAAGGGAAUGAGCAUGGCAAAGAUACAAUUUAAGGGUGAAUGAUUGGAAAUUGUUAUCUUUCAUCAGGGUAAAGUCUGACAUGUGAUAUAGUAAACUACACUGUCUAAUCUUGUUAGCACAGGCCACAUGUUAUUUAAAUUUACAUGCAAAAAUUAAAAAUUUAGUUUCACAGAAGAGUUAUAGUCCAAGUAACUAUUGAAAUCAUUACAGAUGAAUAUUUCUAUCAUCUAAGUUCUAAUGGAAGCACAAGUAGAGAAUAUUAAUCCCAGCUAUUAAACCCUAACUCAGGGUAUAUAGCUUAGUAAUAUGUACCCAUAAGUAAUAUUUUCCAUAUCAUCUAUGAUCCAGUGGUAGAGCCAUUAUAUACAGGGGGCUGGAUAUAUAGCUCAGUGUUAGAGUGUUUGCCCAGCAUGAUGUGUGAGGUCCUGUGUUUGAUCCUAUCACUGCAAAAGAAGAAGAAGAAGAAGGAGAAGGAGAAGGAGAAAGAAGUUUCUCUUCUCUUAUUGGUCUGGGGCCUCCACCAUCCAUCUUCACUGAGCUUAUUUUUCUUGACAAUUAAAUUUUAGUUUAUAUUUCAUACAGUACUGUCUCUGGGUCCUAUAUUAUACCCUACCUUGGUGUUUAGGUACUAUUAUACCCCUACCUUAGUUAUCUAUGUAAUUUUUCUUGAUUUUUCAGGCUAGCUGGGCUCAUUUGGUGGUUCUUCCUCUUGCAGGGCAUCUAUUAGGAUCCUCUGUGUAACUGUUGUCCUCUGGGAGCUUGACUUGAGCUGGAAGUCCACGAUGGCUCUACUGACAGAGUGGGCAUCGCAGCGAAGUUGGCUGUGAGGUAGCUGGGCCACUUUCCUACAUUGUAGUCAACCUGGGUUUUGCCUCAUGAACAAAUAAAAGCAGAAGUUGUCAGACCUCAUAAGUGCUGGGCCUAGA
rnacentral:lncRNA from 1 species